GGAUGUAGCUCAGGGGUAGAGCACUUGUCUAGAAUGCAUAAGUCCCGGGCUUUGAUUCCCAGUAUCACA
rnacentral:tRNA from 1 species